UGGCAGCGCAGGCCUUCGCGGCUACUCCUCCUUAUUAGUGACUUUCAUCAGAAUUUUCUGCUCGCUUCUCCUGGGGCUGGAGCUCUAGAUUUCAGGUGCAAACCGGACGAAGCGAAUUUCUCCUGACUUCAUCGCACGGCCCGGUUAGGCCUGCAGGAGGAGGAGCCGCCGCCGCGCUUCAGGCCAGCGCAGGGCUGCGCUCUGCAGUCCCAACCCGCCUCCAUUAUUUGUUUUCGGAGAACUCGUCUUCCAGGGGAGCCUCGAGCGGAUAAAAGCAGACCGCGGCGCCCACGCAUCUCGGCUCCAGGAGGCGUGUGGGUCCCAGCUCUUCCCUGGGAGGGCGGAGGAGCAGCUGAAAUCUAAACCUAUUUGGAUUCAUUUAAAUCUAAUUUACGUCUUGCAGAAGGUCAUAUGAAGGAUAUAGACAUUGUCUGCUUUAGAACAAAAGGUGAGCAUGUAAGACAUGAGAAGAAAGGGAAGUACUAUAACAUAGCAGCUGUAGUGAAAAUGUUUUCGUGGCCUAGAGAAGUUUAGGUCUCCAAGUUUUGGGAUCAGGGAGAACAUGGGAAAGAAAGGGCUUAUUUGAAUGGCUAUUCAUUUGGCAUUUGUCUAGUGAUAUGUACUUUGGGCACAAGAGCAAGAGCUUUUUGCUCUUGACUUGUUUCCACUUUGGAUUAUUAACACACAAAUACAUGUACAAAAACACAUAAAUUUUCGCACAC
rnacentral:lncRNA from 1 species